GGCGCCCAAGUUCCUCGGAUUGUUAAGGCUGGCGGUGCUGCCCAAAGCAUCCUCCCCAGGACUUCUCGAUAUGGACAGCAGAGGGCAGCAAACUGCCAUUUGAGGGCUCCUCACCCAGGACGACCCACGGGUUUGAAGCUGGCUUUAUCCACGUGGCCCUUUGGGCUGAGGAGAGGAUCUUGCCUGGAGUUGCUGGUAGGAAGAGAAGACCCUCCUUUAUCCCAGGGUGAAACUGCACAUGGACUUUCUUGAAUUUCACUGAGAUAAACACCAGACAAGCAAGUCCUGUUGCAACCCCCCAAAGCAACCUCUGUGAACCUGGGAAGGGGCACCUGCCAGAUUCCCACAGUGUCAGAGUCCCCAGGAAUGGGACCUCCUGCAGAAGCCCCCCAAGGACAAAGCUGAACCCUUCCCUGCUGAGCUGGGCUUCAGCCAAGAGGCCUUUGAGCAAAGGAUUACAGUUCCAGCUGGGAUCAAUUGACUCCCUGAGGGAUGAGAGGCAAGUUUGUCUGGGAAAGGGCCUGAGUUGGCAAGAUCUGGGAUGCUGCAGGGGCUCCUGGAAGGGAGGAAAAUUUCCCUCCUCCAAUGCUCCAAACACCUGGU
rnacentral:lncRNA from 1 species